rnacentral:rRNA from 1 species
CUUCUCCGGAUGAGUUGCGAACGGGUGAGUAACGCGUAGGUAACCUGCCUGGUAGCGGGGGAUAACUAUUGGAAACGAUAGCUAAUACCGCAUAACAGUAGAUAUUGCAUGAUAUCUGCUUGAAAGGUGCAAUUGCAUCACUACCAGAUGGACCUGCGUUGUAUUAGCUAGUUGGUGGGGUAACGGCUCACCAAGGCAACGAUACAUAGCCGACCUGAGAGGGUGAUCGGCCACACUGGGACUGAGACACGGCCCAGACUCCUACGGGAGGCAGCAGUAGGGAAUCUUCGGCAAUGGACGGAAGUCUGACCGAGCAACGCCGCGUGAGUGAAGAAGGUUUUCGGAUCGUAAAGCUCUGUUGUAAGAGAGGAACGAGUGUGAGAGUGGAAAGUUCACACUGUGACGGUAUCUUACCAGAAAGGGACGGCUAACUACGUGCCAGCAGCCGCGGUAAUACGUAGGUCCCGAGCGUUGUCCGGAUUUAUUGGGCGUAAAGCGAGCGCAGGCGGUUAGAUAAGUCUGAAGUUAAAGGCUGUGGCUUAACCAUAGUACGCUUUGGAAACUGUUUAACUUGAGUGCAAGAGGGGAGAGUGGAAUUCCAUGUGUAGCGGUGAAAUGCGUAGAUAUAUGGAGGAACACCGGUGGCGAAAGCGGCUCUC